rnacentral:rRNA from 1 species
UCCGUAGGCGGGCAGCUCAGUCAGUGGUGAAAGUUUGCAGCUCAACUGUAAAAUUGCCAUUGAUACUGGUUGUCUUGAAUUAAUGUGAAGUGGUUAGAAUAUGUAGUGUAGCGGUGAAAUGCAUAGAUACUACAUGGAAUACCAAUUGCGAAGGCAGAUCACUAACAUUAUAUUGACGCUGAUGGACGAAAGCGUGGGGAGCGAACAGGAUUAGAUACCCUGGUAGUCC